ACUCCUGUGGUCUAGUGGUUAGAGCGUCCGCCUCGGAUGCAAUAAGUCGUGGGUUCGAUCCCCGGCAGAUUCGUA